GCUGGCCAAUGGCAAAGCACCCACUUACCGGUUCCGCACCCCGGCCCCGCCCUCCGUCCCAUAGCGCCGGCUCCGAUCCCAAUCGCAGUUCCAGCCCCGGCUCCAGUCCCAAUCCCAGUCGCAGUUCCAGUCCCAGUGCUGGCCCCAGUCUCAAUCUCCGUCCCAGGCCCGGCCCCAGUCCCUGUUCGAAUUCGAGUUCCAGCCCCAGUCCUGUCUCAAUCCCAAUCCCAGUUCCAGUCCGAGUCAGACACACCAGGACAAGUUUCAACACGGGCCUUUACUGGGUGUGGUCGGUGCUGGUGACGCUCAGCCCACCCCGAGCCCAGCCCACCACGGGCACGCUCCGGGCCGCUGUGCCCCGGGGUGCGGCCAGCCACCCCCGCGGCUGUGCCCAGCUCAUCCACCUGGCCACAAACUGCAUUUUCUCCCUUGUUUUUCAUCCCAGCGAACUUUUCGCCCUGCAGGGCUACGUUGCUACUUUUCCCAAAGAAAACAGGAGGCUUUUAACAUGGUGCCCCUCCAAGAAACCACUUUGAUCCUUAUCGCAGUGACCCAGCAGCCACCACUGGGGAUAACGAGCUCUGCCCAAGGCCACGGCAGCACAUCCCCCGAGCCCAGCACAUCCUGAGCCACAGAGACAGCACUGCUCAAAACGAAAGUGGCCUCAGGCAUGGCUUGUUACCUUCUCCCUCACUCCAGCCUGUCCCUGGAGUACAGGAGGGCUUCAGCCAAAACCUGCAGCUGCUCCAUGACCUCUCGCUGCAUCUCCACAGCGAUGUGGAACACGUGGUGGUCACAGCUGUUGUACAUCACUGCGUUCUGGAACAUGAGCAUGAGGUCACACUGGAACUGGAUCAUGGACUGAAUGUGUCCCUUUGCCAGCCUUCUCUUUAUGCUGGUUAAAUCCAUGGGUCUAGAAAAGAGAGAGAAGGAGAACUGAAUUGCAACCCAGGGGAAGGCAUCCUUCGGGCUCUGCAUGAAUGUGAUUAUUCUCAUUUCAGGGUGGCCCUGAAAGCAGAGCUAUUUUCAAUCAAUUUUAUUGCUCAGGACAAAGAGGGAGAGUGAGAAAGGCUUUUCUUCCAAGUCAGACAAAAGUUAAGUUCAGCCAAUGCGACAUUUGCUGUCCAACCAAGUUGGCAGGUCAUUAGCAGUCACCUCUGAAAAAAAUGUGAUGCUGAGCUCCAGAGAAGGCAAGAGAAUGGGAAAAUGAAUGGCUGCAGAAAGGACAACUGUGACCAGAAUAGAACAUGAUUCAGCUCUGAAAAAUGCCCUUAAUCUCUCUGGGAAAUAUUGUUAUGACCCACUUCUGUGCUGAGAGUGAAACAUCUGGGGCGCAUGCAGUGGGUGAGGAGGGGGCAUUGCCUGAGGCACAUCCCAGCAUGAGGAGAAGGGACUGCUGAGCUGCAAGGAGCUAGAUCCCCUGCCCAGGGACUGUGCCUGGGCUAAGCCAUGCAAUGCCUGCAAAGGGCAGGCACAAUUCCCACCAGGUCCAAAGUUAGUGCAAGCUUCCACGUUCUAAUUACCCAGAAGGGAGUUUUAAUAAAAGAAAUCAGUGGGAAAUGCUGGUGACAGCCAAACUCUGGAAAAGGAGGAAGGAAACCAUCUCACUGGGCCUUUGGAAACCAAAAACAACAGAAAAGAACCAGAGAGAAAUCAACUAGUGAGCAUUUCCUCCACAAACUCACCUCUUUACCACAUCCCUGUAUCCAGGGGCUUGUUUCUCUGACACUGGCUUCAGGAAUGGGCUGCUGUAUCUACAGGGACAAGGACAAAGAAUGUUCUGUGCCUGCCUCUGUGCCAAAGGCAGCACUGGGACAUGAAGCAGUGCUUCUCUGUCCCUGCCUGCCAUGAGGGCCACAGACAGUGCUGUGCCAGCUGUGUAGGAAGCAGCACUUGGGCUCUGCCACAUUAAGCAGAGGAAAUAAAUAUGCAGUGUUCUCUCCAGCUCUGCAGCACACAACUGUUCCUAAAGCAAAGCCCUGGAGAGACAGCCCAGCCUCUGGGGAGGGGAGGACAAGGCCUGAUGACACAGGAGCUGGGACUCAGGGCAGUGUGUUCAGGACAUGUUGAUCCAGCCCUCUGCUCUCACAUACCUGUGACUGGCUAUCAUCCUCCAGAUGGUCAGGAGUGUUUUCUUGAGGAGCAAAUGCUGGAGGGGGUUAUUCCAGCUUGGCUGCACCCUGUGGAGUGAAGGCAUUGCCAGAUUAUCACACUUGAGACAAAGUGGGAGGUGGCAAUUCUGCUGGCAUCCACCACAUCCACAACCUUGGAGUGUGAUGGUGGGAGCGUCCUCUAUGGGAACACACAAGUAAACAUCCAGAAUGCAGGAAGAUGCAGGGCAAUCGGUAAAAACAAGAGCUGAGCUGAAGGGCAGGAUCAAACUGGAUAGAAAACCACAUGCUACUCUGCAGUUUAGAACUUUACUGAGGUGGUUUUAUGAAGUUUCUCAUCCCAACCCCCCAUGUCUUUCCUUUGAAAGGCAGCCCAGAUGAUCACGCGUGGCAGAGCCUGCAUGUGACAGAUAUACCUGCACCUGCUUAAAGGGGGUUGGUAAUACCUCCCUCAGGAGCUGGACUGUGCUUUACCUGACAGAACGUGAUGCCCAGCCUAUCUGCCUUGAGGAAAUGCAUAUUUUCCAUUUAA